GACGAACGCUGGCGGCGUGCUUAACACAUGCAAGUCGAACGGAGUGGCGAACGGGUGAGUAACACGUGGGUGACCUGCCCUGCACUUCGGGAUAAGCCUGGGAAACUGGGUCUAAUACCGGAUAGUGUGGGAUGGGCCGGGGGCCUAUCAGCUUGUGGGUGGGGUAAUGGCCUACCACGGCGGCGCCGGGUAGCCGGCCUGAGAGGGUGGACAGCCACAAUGGGACUGAGAGACGGCGCAGACUCCUACGGGGGGCAGCAGGGGGGAAUAUUGCACAAUGGGGGGAAGUGUGUUGCAGCGGCGACGGGUGUGGGAUGACGGCCUACGGGGUGUAAACUCCUUUUGCCAUAGACGCGGUAGAUGGAGAAGAAGCACCGGCUAACUACGUGCCAGCAGCCGCGGUAAUAC
rnacentral:rRNA from 1 species